UCUCCUACGGGAGGCAGCAGUGGGGAAUUGUUCGCAAUGGGCGCAAGCCUGACGACGCAACGCCGCGUGGAGGAUGAAGAUCUUCGGGUCGUAAACUCCUUUCGAUCGAGACGAAUGGCCCUUGGGCUAAUCACCAGGGGAAUGACGGUACCGAGAGAAGAAGCCCCGGCUAACUCCGUGCCAGCAGCCGCGGUAAUACGGGGGGGGCAAGCGUUGUUCGGAAUUACUGGGCGUAAAGGGCUCGUAGGCGGCCAACUAAGUCAGACGUGAAAUCCCUCGGCUCAACCGGGGAACUGCGUCUGAUACUGGAUGGCUUGAAUCCGGGAGAGGGAUGCGGAAUUCCAGGUGUAGCGGUGAAAUGCGUAGAUAUCUGGAGGAACACCGGUGGCGAAGGCGGCAUCCUGGACCGGCAUUGACGCUGAGGAGCGAAAGCCAGGGGAGCAAACGGGAUUAGAUACCCCGGUAGUCCA
rnacentral:rRNA from 1 species